GCCGGGGUAGCUCAGUCGGUAGAGCAGGGGACUGAAAAUCCCCGUGUCGGCAGUUCAACUCUGUCCCCCGGCACCA
rnacentral:tRNA from 7 species